rnacentral:rRNA from 1 species
AUUGAACGCUGGCGGCAGGCCUAACACAUGCAAGUCGAGCGGAUGAAGGGAGCUUGCUCCUGGCUUCAGCGGCGGACGGGUGAGUAAUGCCUAGGAAUCUGCCUUGUAGUGGGGGAUAACGUCCGGAAACGGGCGCUAAUACCGCAUACGUCCUGAGGUAGAAAGUGGGGGUUCUUCGGACCUCACGCUAUCUGAUGAGCCUAGUUCGGAUUAGCUAGUUGGUUGGGUAAAGGCCUACCAAGGCGACGAUCCGUAACUGGUCUGAGAGGAUGAUCAGUCACACUGGAACUGAGACACGGUCCAGACUCCUACGGGAGGCAGCAGUGGGGAAUAUUCGACAAUGGGCGAAAGCCUGACCCAGCAAUGCCGCGUGUGUGAUGAAGGUCUUCGGAUUGUAAAGCACUUUUAGUUGGGAGGAAGGACAGUAUGAUAAUACAUUGCUGUCUUGACGUUACCAACACAAAAAGCAACGGCUAACUACGUG